GUUAUGACCAUCUGUAAACCUAUGAAUUGUUUUCUCUUUAUAAAAUGAUUCAGCUCCGAAAGCAGUAGAAUGAGACUGGUCAUUCAGCAAUCUCUCCCACCCACCCUUGCAGACAUCACAUCACAAAGACUAUGACUCACUCUGUCAUACGGUUUCUAUCCUUUUACGAGUUUUAUGAUUGUUGUGAUGAAUACUGGCUCAUAAAUCUGAAUGAAUAUUAGGAUGAAGCUAUUUGUGUCAUUUCCUCACAGCCAAAGCAGAUACUAACAAUGGUACCAGACAGUUCUUAAUCCUAAUGUAUAAAAUGAUUCACAGGUUUUAGGCUUGAGAGAGAGAGAUUUAAGGAUUAAAGUAUAUGAUUCAAGUAUGAAUUCUCAGAUCUGUAUUUUUUAAUUAGCAGGUUAUAACUAGUUCUGGAAUUGGCUAGAAAUGUUAUGUUAUUCGAUAGCUGAAAAGAAAAUCUUCCACAAUAAAAAUUAAUCCUAACAAAUGAUUGUGUUUUACCUUUAUUGCUUCCUUCGAAUAAUGUGAAAGGUGUCGCUGCAGAAGGAACUACAGGGAUGCUACAUUCAAUUUAUCCAUUUUACACGCCUCGUGCUGAAUUUUCCGAAAUUCGGGGGAAAAAAAUAGAAAUGGAUGGGUGAGAGCAGCGUGCCAACUGCCUUGGAUCCUACCGAGCUGGAAUUUAAGGGCACGACUCUGGAAAGCGUUUCAAAGCGGAGAAACUAUUUCCACCCCCAAGAAGCAGAGGAAUCGGAAG